CCAAUGUCAUCUUUAUUUGGCAAAAUCCUUCAGGAGGAUCGAACACAAACACUGUUGAGGUGGGCAAAUGUUGUGCUUAAGUUCAUAUUCUGCAACUUGACAAAAGAAAAACGAAAGGCUAUUUAUUUUGAAUAUCCUACUGUCAUCUGUAGUUGGCAAAAUCUCUCGGGAGGAUCAAAUGCACGCAAUGUUGAGGCGGACAGAAGCAAUCGGGGAGAACUAUGCUCCGUCGCCCUGUUAAGUCAUCAUGAAUGCCUCACAUUUGCCACAAUGUAUUUUGAUUUAAGAUUGUGAGAAGGCCGUCAUUCAAUACCACUCGCAACCAUUUAUCUUGGGUAGGCAAGUCAUGUCACUAUAACCCCACCAAGCUGCCGAAGCUCCCGUCACGGACAAGACAAGAUUCAAGCACUAUCAUCACUACUGGUUUAUCCUCGAGACCUCACGUUAGUGGAAUAUCAGCUAGUAUUAUUAGGCCACCAUCAUUGGCGAUUAGCGGUCCCCUAUAGUUCUGCAUUAAGAGAAUCAGAAGGGCCAUUCAGGAAAGACAGUCAUCAAAACAAUCACAUUUUAUAGACUUGGAAUGGGAAAUACCCUGGUAUGUCUUCUUGUUGAUUUUCGGUUGCAGUCGAGUAUGUGUAUAAUUUGCAUAUUUGAUUACUCUUGUAAUUGUCUAUUUCGCACGACAAAGUAAUAUGUAUGGGGGCUAUCUGAU